AGCGAACGCUGGCGGCAGGCCUAACACAUGCAAGUCGAACGAACUCUUCGGAGUUAGUGGCGGACGGGUGAGUAACACGUGGGAACGUGCCUUUUGUUUGGGAUAAAUCAGGGAAAAUUGUGCUAAUACCGAAUGUGGCCCUCGGGGGAAAGAUUUAUCGCCAUUAGAGCGGCCCGCGUCUGAUUAGCUAGUUGGUGAGGUAACGGCUCACCAAGGCGACGAUCAGUAGCUGGUCUGAGAGGAUGACCAGCCACACUGGGACUGAGACACGGCCCAGACUCCUACGGGAGGCAGCAGUGGGGAAUCUUGCGCAAUGGGCGAAAGCCUGACGCAGCCAUGCCGCGUGAAUGAUGAAGGUCUUAGGAUUGUAAAAUUCUUUCACCGGGGACGAUAAUGACGGUACCCGGAGAAGAAGCCCCGGCUAACUUCGUG
rnacentral:rRNA from 1 species